UUGAGAGGGGUCUCAGUCUGGUGCCCAGGCUGGAGUGCAGUGGCACAAACAUAGCUCACUGCAGCCUCAACCUCCUGGGCUCAAGCAGUCCUCUCACUACACCUUCCUGUGUAGCUAGGACCACAGAUGGGCAUCACCAUGCCCAGCUCAUUUUUUUUCUGUAGAAACAGGGGUCUCACUUUGUUGCCCAGGCUGGUCUUGAACUCCUGAGCUCAAUCUUCAUACCUUGGCCUUCCAAAGUGCGGGGAUUACAGGUGUGAGCCACCAUGCCCAGCCCCAAACAUUGCUUCUAGAAAUGAAAUUCGUAAUCUACCUCUGUAGUAUAACAUAUCUGUACUUUGCCCAUUGAGAAGUGUUCUGAACCAAAAUGUCCAUAUUCGGAUUAUAGCCAUUAUCCCCAAUGUGCACUUCAUUCUACAAACAGCUGUGUGUAGAGUGGAUAUAUUAAGUCCAUAUUUUAAUAUCUAGUCCUAGGUAUUUUGAAGUGAAGAUGUUUGUGACAAAUUUUUAAAAAUGAGGUGGUGAACUGGAGUUGGCCCACAGGCCAUAGUUAAGCAACCCCUAUGUUAGCAGCUCCAUGCAUUCCACACCAGUCUCUAUAGUAGCAAAUAGGAAGCCCUGCUCCUCCCCCACAAAAAGUGACAUUUUUGACACAUUUUUGGGUUGUUAAAUUCAAAACCCAAUGUCCUUUGGCAGCAUUUGUAAAGGAGGAAGGACUCUCUCCAACUGAUGGUUUUUUUUGUUUUGUUUUUUUUUUUUUUGAGACGGAGUCUCGCUCUUUCACCCAGGCUGGAGUGCAGUGGCGCGAUCUCGGCUCACUGCAAGCUCCGCCUCCCAGGUUCAUGCCAUUCUCCUGCCUCAGCCUCCUGAGUAGCUGGGACUACAGGUACCCGCCACCACAGCACCUGGCUAAUUUUUUUUUUUUUUUUGUAUUUUUAGUAGAGACGGGGUUUCACCAUGUUAACCAGGAUGGUCUUGAUCUCCUGACCUCAUGAUCCGCCUGCCUCGGCCUCCCAAAGUGCUGGGAUUACAGGCAUGAGCCACUGCACCAGGCCAACUGAUGUUCUUAAGCCAUCUCUUUGAGCUGUAACUCAUUAAUGAACGCUUUACUGGAGAAAUCAGAAAAGCAUAAAAGGAAUGGUUCUAUUUGUUUUUAGAAAACACUCCAGAUUAUACUGUAGUUCCAUGUCAGUUCCACUUAACACAGCUGUGUUGCUAGUGGAUGAAAUUAAGUCUCUUGUUUUGAAACACCUUAGGCUUCUGGGUGUUCGGAGGUGAUGACACAUGAUAAAGGACAGCUAGUAGAAUAAUACAUGUUAUAAAUAUCUCUAAUUAUUUUAACAAAUGAAAUACUAUUUUGUAGGUGAGAUUGUUCAUUCAGUACUUAUUCCUGGGUUUGUGAGUGGGAGGGAGAGGCAGCACUAGGGUAGGUUUCUACAGAUGUGUCUUUUUUUUUCUCUUUCUUUUUUUCUUUUGAGAUGGAAUCUCACUCUGUUGCCCAGGCUGGAGUGCAGUGGCACAAUCUUGGCUCACUGAGACCUUCACCUACCGGAUUCAAGCAAUUCUGCAUCAACCUCCCGUGUAGCUGGGAUUACAGGCAUGCACCACCAUGCCCGGCUAAUUUUUUGUAUUUUUAGUAGAGACAGGGUCUCACCAUGUUGGCCAGCCUGGUCUCAAACCCCUGACCUCAGGUGAUCGGCCCACCUGGGCCUCCCAAAGUGCUGGUGAGCCCCUGCGCCCGGCCAGAUGUGUCUUUUUAGAUGACAGGUGCAGAGUGAUCUGUGCCUGUAUUUUAUAUGGCUCUGGCUGUGUACACACUCUUUUUUGAGACAGAGUCUCACUCUGUCACCCAUGCUGGAGUGCAGCAGCACAAUCACGGCUCACUGCAGCCUCCACCUCCUAGGCUCAAGCAAUCCUCCCACCUCAGCCUCCUGAGUAGCUGGGGCCACAGGUGCACACCAUCAUGCCCAGAUAAUUUUUUGUAUUUUUUGUAGAGAAGGGGUUCCACCAUGUUGUUGCCCUCACUGGCCUUGAACUCCUGGGCUUAAGCAAUCUGCCUGCCUUGGCCUACCAAAGUGCUGGGAUUACAGGUGUGAGCCACUGCGCCCAGCUAACACUGUCUCAUUUACCAUUAUAUUCCUAGUGACUAAAACAGUGCCAGACACAUACUAGGUGGUCAAUACUUUCUGAAUGAAUAGUGUAAUUCCCUAUAUAUGAACAAUCACUAUGUAUAUAUGGAAACCUGGGAGGAUGUAUACCAAAAUAUCAACAGUAGUGUUUUCUGGUUGGUAGACAUUAGGGUAAUUUUACUUUCUUUUUUUGUUUAAAUUUGCUACAACAACUACAUAUUAUCUUUGUAAACAAGGUAGGGAAAGUUUAUUCACUAAUUCCUUCUCAGAGUAUGAUUAUGGUGGCAUAAAUUGAUGCAGUAUUACAGGCACAAAGCCACUUCAGCAAACCCUUUUUAUAAGGGCCCUAAUACAUUCAUGAGGGAAGAGUCCUCAUGACUUAAUAACUUUCCAAAAGGCCCCGCCGCUUAAUACUACCACAGUGGGGAUUAAGGUUCAACACGAAUUUUGGAGGGGCCACCAUCAUUCAAACCACAUAGGUGGUAUCAGAGAAGACUAUGUGGAAAAUGGGAAUUUGUAUCACCAUCCAGCGAUAAUGAGGCCUCACACCUCCCAUGGUGACAUUAGAGACCACAUGGGGAGCAGUAAUGAGGCACCCCUCCCCCGCCCAGCAGAAGUGUUGUCAGUGGAAGCCAACUGGGGGGUCCCAAAAUACCACUGCUACCAACAGUAAUGAGAUACUCCUCCUACCUACUGGAGUAUCAAAGGAAGGCAAAGGGGGAACUUUCAAACACACACCGUAGAAAUGAGAUAUGUGUGUGGUGAGUUCAGUUCACAUGGCUGUGAGUGUUUAGUGGAUCUGGGGUUAGUCCAGGGAGGAGGCAGACAGAGGGGAAGGAAGGUGCAACACAGAGGUGGAAAGAGGCCAGAGGUGUUCAGAUCUGCAGGUGGCUCCUGGGGCGGCAGAUAAAAUGGGCCUGGAGGGGCAGGUCAGGGCUCUGUUAGGUAGGCCUCCGUGACAGGUUCAUGAGUGGAAAUUUCACCCUGAGAGGAGACCGCAGACAGAUUUUAGGCAAGAGCCUGACAUCAGAGAGACAGAAAGGUGUCAUGUGGGGAAGAGUGCAGGGAGGAAAUGCUGCUGGCCUGAGGCCACACAGGCAGUGGUUGGAACUCAGGAUGUCAUGAGACCCAAAGCAAGCCAGGCCUGGUGGGGCUUAGAGGUGGGCAUGGGUCUGAGAGGUGUUGUAGAAGGCAGAGUGUGCAGGGUUUUGUGCUGAGAGACGGGGGAGGUACUGAGGUCAAUAUCUGACAUUUUAAGCUCCAGGAAACUGUGAAACAUUAAGAUAGUGUGAUGGACAAUUUAACAUGUCAUCUUGGCUGGGCCACUGGGUGCCCAGGUAUUGGGUCAAACAUUAUUCUGGACAUGUCUGUGAGGGAAGUUUUGGAUGAGGUUAACAUUGGUUUAUCAUCCCAAAAAUGUAUUAUCGUGGAUAUGACUUAUGUUUUAAAUAUGUGAACAUUAUUGUGCUUUCUUGGACAUCCACUGCCUAGGGCAGACCUCUGCCCUGAUGGGUGUUCAGGCACUGGGUGUAUUACCCAUGUCUUUACUUUUCUCUAUUCAUUCAUGAUACUUUGACAUCUGGGGCAUUGCUGACUCUGGGGGGACUGCCCCACCUUCCCUAUCAGGCUCUCACGAGGGCUACUAUCCAUCCACCUGCCUUAGUCACCCCAGGGCCAUUGCCAGACAUUAGGGAUAGUCAUCUGCCCCAGAGCCCUGAAAUUAAACUAGACAAUCCUAAGCCUGUGUGCUCCGCUCACCCACUCCUCCCGUGGAAACCAUAAAAAGGCUCCAGCCCACAGUUCCUCCAUCUCCCUCUGUUCCUGACUGGCCCAGUGUCUCCUGUGAGGCCCCGUGUGCUGUGCUGGGCCUCCUGUUUCUAGGGAUGUAUGAGCAGAAUAAGCUGCUUCUUCAUGAGAGUCAUUUUUGUGUCUGUGUGCCUUAUCAUCCUUAAUUAAAACAGAUCCUGGGGACCCUUAAAACACAGGUAAGCACUUGCUCAUCCAUUCUUCAGGAGGCUAAGUCUGGGUCAUCCGCCUCUGUCUCUUCUCAAACCCUUUCAGGGCGUAGCCUGAGGCUGGGGUUGCAAUAAGAGCUCAACGAACGUGGCUGGCUGAGUUCUCCUGUGCUGUCCACCAGGCCUCCCCAUCGGGUCUGUGCCUCCCAUGGGGCUGUGUGUGUGUGUGUCUGAUGUGGGGUGCCAGCAGCACAGACACACCAGUGUGUUGUGUUUCCCUCAGAGGCAGCCUCGGGGCUCAGCCUGCUAAGGGUGAGGACAAGGAGGUGCUGGGUGGUGACGUCUUAGACUUCAUCUGAGCCUUCAAUGUCAUGGGAACAGACAUGUCUCGGAGAGGUGCACCCUGGGAUCUGUCCAGGAUCAGAAACUCUUGGAGCCAGCCCAGCCAGAGGUACUGCCCAAGGACUUGUUCUCCAAAGCUUCCAGUCAUGAAAGUGCUCAGCCCAAGGUGGGUGCCAGGGUGACCGUGCCCCAGGGAUGGCUGGGCUUCUUUCUCUACCUGGUUCAGCCCAAGCCACUUAAGGCAACUGUGGAUUCACAGCGGUACCUCUAACUCUUCCCACCCCAUGGAGACCUGGGCAUGCAUGAAAGGCUAGGAGGACAGCAUAGAAUUUGGCCACUGGCCCCUACGGCCAUGGGUGGUGGUUGGUGACUGAAGAAAGAGAUGAAGGCUUGUCAGGGAGGUGCUUGAACCCUGUCUGGUAGCCCACAGAACCGAGAUCAGAGGCUGUGGAGGCACUGCUGCCUCCUGGGCUCUAAAUGAGCAAAUGUUUGGGAACGACAGUGCCAGAACAAAGCUGCCUGCGCUCCUGUCCUGCCCUUCUCAGCUCAAGUCACACACGUGCUAAGAGGCUUUUGGCUGCAAGUGGCUGGUAGACAUUGGUUGACAGAUUUGGGAUGUGAUAAGAGGCUGUUGAUUUCAUUCGUUUGUGCAAUGUCGGAGAUAAAUUUUAACAGUUAAAACGGGGAAGGAAAAAAAAAGCCCUAGAACUUUGCCAGCAUCACAACUCUGCCUGUUUCUUCUAACGGAUUUCUUGAAACUGUCAACUGCCUGAGCUGGAGAAGCCCACUUAUAAGGAACGUUGUCAUGUGUCUCCAGGGGAGCCAGGACCGUCCGUGGGGUUGGCUGGCCCUUCACAAUGUGACCCCACUUCCAUGGGCUCCCUCUUUCCUCCUGCACAGCCCUGGGGUGCAGGGCUCCCUCUGGAAGGCAACAGCUUCCAGCGACUCAAAGGCCUGCAGGGUCGUGUGAUCUCAGCAUCACAGGUCUACCCAUAGAACCAGCAAUUUUAUCAGUAGUAUUAAUUAUCCUCUGCAAAAAGAGACACUGAAAACAAAGUUCCCUUUCUCAAAGAACUCUGAUGAGAAAUUAAAAAAUAUAUUUGACCUUGGAGGAUUCAUUGUUUUGGAAGCCACGGAGACCUGCAUCAUGCAACCCAAAAGAAGGAUUACAUCUGAGAUGUGUGGGACGGGCACGAGGGGCCUCUACAACCAAUCUACCCUGUGUCUUGACUUCUCUGAGAGUUGCAUUGGGUUCAACAGUGAUUCCAUUUCCUCCCAAAGGGCCACUGGGAGAUAAGCAGCAUCGAGCUUAUAUCCAAAAAGCUCUAUGUAGUUUCAAGGUGUUUCCAAAGCACCUCCUCUGAUCCUCAUACCCUCCAGGGUGGCAGGCAACACAGGGCAUUUGAGUUUGCUCUGAGAUGAAGAUACGACCAUAGGGUUGUACCCAGAAGGUCUCAUGACUGGACAUCCAGCUCUUUGCACCACACUCCGAAGGGAGAAGUGGUCCAGGUUGCCCUUCUGAGAGUGAAUAUCACUUCCAGCACAGGCGGCAGCCUGCAUCCCAGCCGGCCCUGCUGAUGCCUCCAAGGAUGUGAGUGAGAGUUACCCACAUCAUGGGAACCCUUUGCUGGUCUGCAAAAUAUCCCAGAGGUUGUUCCUUUGAACCCUGUGUGUGGAGAGCUUUGACUUAAAUGUGCCAUGCAUAGAAUGAACCCCUGCAGGGGUGUGUCACCCCUUGGCUUCCCAGGAAGACCACCCGCUUUUCUGACACUGUCCCUGGAAUGACCAACUGUGGCCUUUUUACGAACUCUUCAGGCUCGAGAAGUGCACAUCCUCAUUUACAAGGGACAUGUGGAAAGUCUUGAAAUUGGAUCCGAAAAGUGUGGUUUCUCCAAGAACUAAAGCUCCCGAAGCAGUUUUGAGAAGAGAGGGACAUAGGCCAGCAAGGAUUUUGGCAUGGAUUCUUUUCCUUUGCUCUUAGGAUGUGUGUGAUCCCAAAGAGUUUGCCGGCAGGCUAUGGGAACUCCAUCCCCACACACUCAGCCACUACCUCAGGUGGCAGGGGCCCUGGCUAGGGUUUGGCUGUAAUAUUCAGGACUGACUGAGCAUCCUGCACACUGGUGAAGGGAGGGGUCCUCUGGAGACCAUGCCUCUCCUACAGUCAGCCCCACCCCCAGGUGGGAGGGAUGUGCCAGUGCCUUCUCACCCCCACGUGCCUGCAUGCUGCCCUUCGUUCUGCUGUUUCCUAAUCACACCUGCUCUCAGGAACAGGUGCAACACAGUCCCACUAGGUGCAUAGCUACUCACACUGUGACACGGACACUCCCAGGAACACCAGCCCCAUAAAGCCUCGGAGGAGAGGGCUAGAAUUCUAGGCAACCUUGAGCUAGGGAGGGCUCCUUUGAACUGGGAGAUUCUCAAUGUCUUUGGAGUCUUAUUCUUAUCAAAAGUCCCUCUGGAGAAGCCUCGUCUUGGGGAUUGGCCAGAGGGAAAAGUUUAUGGCAGCACUUGCAUCAAAAGACACCAUAGCAUCACAUCAACCAACGACCAACUGUAAUGAUUUCACUUUUAUCAGUAUACACAUGAUUAGAAAUUUUGGAAACUGGACCACUCUUCUGUUCUACUAACCAAACACUCAAUACCAUGAAUCAUGUGAGAGGACUGUUGCCCAUGUUAGGUUAUGUGACCUUUUUAUUUUGGCUGGGGAUGGUAUACUUCAUUGAUGGUGCAUGACAAGCUGGAGCUGCCUAAGCCCCUGUCCUUCCUCCAGGAGUCUGGAAUGGAAACUGACUUUGGGGAGCCUGAGUGGGGCAAUGACUCCCCAGCAGCUGGGGGUUCACUCUUCCUUUCAUGCUCUUGAUGGAGCUGGUGGUCUGGGGGUCUUACUCCUUGGAGGCCGUGUGGACCAUAAGGUCCACCACCCUGUUGCUGCUGCCAAAUUCAUCCCAGGAAAGGAGCCUGACAAAGUGGCCAUUGAAGGUAAUGCCAAUCGUGGCAUUGAAGGUAGAAGAGUGCGGGUGCCACUCUUAAAGUCAGAGGAGACAACUUGGUCCUCAGUGUAGAUCAGAAUGCCCUUGAGGGGACCCUCCGAUACCUGCUUCAGCAUCUUCUCAUGCCAUCAUAUUUGGCAGCUUUCUGCAGAUGGCAGAUGAGAGCCACAACCAAAAUAUUAUGGGUGGGAACACAGAAGGCCAUACCUGUGAGCCUCUUAUCUGGCUCAGGGAUGACCUUGCCCAUAGCCUCGGCCACACUAGUAGAUACAGGGAUGAUGUUCUGCAGCAGUCACGCCAAAGUUUCUCCAACAGUCUUCUGGGUGGCAGUAGUGGCAUGGACUGUAGUCAUAGAUGACCUUGGCCAAGGGUGCCAAACAUUGAUAGUGCAGGAGGCACUGCUGACAAUCUCGAGAAGAUAAUUCAUACUUCUCAUGGUUCACACCCACCACAAACAUGGAUCUGCAUAAGAGCACAAGGGGCAAAGAUGACGACAGUUUUGGCUCCUUCAAGUGAGCCCCAGUCUUCUCCGUAGUGCUGAAGAUGCCAGUGGGCUCUGCACCAUAUUCAGCACCAGUGUUGCCUCAUUUGAUGUUGGCGAGAUCUUGCUCUUGGAGGAUAGAGAUGGGUUUCCCAUUGAUUACAAGCUUCCUGUUCUCUUUCCUUGACUGUGCCAUUGGACUUGUCAUGAAAUAUACUGGAACAUGUAGACCAUGGAGUUGAGACCAGUGAAGAGAUCAUUGAUGAUGACAGUGUCCAUUUUGCCAGAGUUGAAAGCUGCCCUGGUGACCAGGUAUCCAAUAUGGCCAAAUCCAUUGACUCAGACUCUCACCAUUGUAUCCUGGAUGAGGCUGACACUGCAUGAGCAGAUGGAGCUGUUUGUCGAACGAGGAAGAGAAGAGAGCCACAGCUUUUUUCUUUUAAAAACAGACUUCAUCUUCUGAGCAGUUCUAGAUUCACAGAAAAAUUGAGCAGAGUACAGAGAUAUCCCAGGUACCUUCCCCCCUACACAUGCACAGCUCCCCACAUUAUCAACAUCCCCCACCAGACUGGCAUGUUUGUUUCAAUUAAUGAACCAACAUUGACACAUCUCUGUCACCCAGAGUCCAUGGUUUACCUUAGGGUUCACUCUCUGUGUUGGACAUUUUAUGGGUUUUGACAAAUGCAUUAUGACAUGCAUCCAUCAUUAUAAUAUCAGAGUAGUCUCACUGCCCUACAAAUCCUCUGUACCCUACCAGUUCAUCCGUUCCUCCCGCUCCCCACUUGGCAACCACUGAUCUUGUUAUCCUCUUCAUAGUUUCACCUUUUCCAGAAUGUCAUACAGUUGGAAUCAUACGGUAUGCAGCCUUCUCAGAUUGGCUUCUUUCACUCAGUAAUAUGCAUUUAAGUUUCCCCCAUGCCUUUUCAUGGCUUCGCAGCUCAAGCUAAGUAAUACGCCAUUGUCUGCAUGUACCCCAGUUUAUCCCCUCACCUACUGAAGGAUAUCUUGGUUGUUUCCAACUUUUAGCAAAUACGAAUAAAGUGGCUCUAAACAUC